rnacentral:rRNA from 1 species
AAACGACUCUCGGCAACGGAUAUCUCGGCUCUCGCAUCGAUGAAGAACGUAGCGAAAUGCGAUACUUGGUGUGAAUUGCAGAAUCCCGCGAACCAUCGAGUCUUUGAACGCAAGUUGCGCCCGAAGCCAUCCGGCCGAGGGCACGUCUGCCUGGGCGUCACGC